CAAUAGCGUAUAUUAAAGUUGUUGCAGUUAAAAAGCUCGUAGUUGAACUUCAGGCUUGGCGGGGUGGCCUGCCUCACGGUAUGUACUACCCGGCCGAGCCUUACCUCCUGGUGAGCCUGCAUGCCGUUUAUUCGGUGUGUAGGGGAACCAGGAAUUUUACUUUGAAAAAAUUAGAGUGUUCAAAGCAGGCAUAUGCCCGAAUACAUUAGCAUGGAAAAAUAGAAUAGGACGUGCGGUUCUAUUUUGUUGGUUUCUAGGAUCGCCGUAAUGAUUAAUAGGGACGGUUGGGGGCAUUAGUAUUCAGUUGCUAGAGGUGAAAUUCUUAGAUUUACUGAAGACUGACUACUGCGAAANCANNNGCCAAGGACGUUUUCAUNAA
rnacentral:rRNA from 1 species